rnacentral:rRNA from 1 species
UACGGAGGGUGCGAGCGUUGUCCGGAAUUAUUGGGCGUAAAGGGCUCGUAGGCGGUCUGUCACGUCGGGAGUGAAAACUCAGGGCUUAACCCUGAGCCUGCUUCCGAUACGGGCAGACUAGAGGUAUGCAGGGGAGAACGGAAUUCCUGGUGUAGCGGUGAAAUGCGCAGAUAUCAGGAGGAACACCGGUGGCGAAGGCGGUUCUCUGGGAAUGUCCUGACGCUGAGGAGCGAAAGUGUGGGGAGCGAACAGGG